rnacentral:rRNA from 1 species
CCUACGGGUGGCAGCAGUAGGGAAUCUUUCACAAUGGGCGAAAGCCUGAUGGAGCAACGCCGCGUGCAGGAUGAAGGCCUUCGGGUUGUCAACUGCUUUUAUAAGCGAGAAAUAUGAUGGUAACUUAUGAAUAAGGAUCGGCUAACUACGUGCUAGCAGCCGCGGUCAUACGUAGGAUCCGAGCAUUAUCCGGAGUGACUGGGUGUAAAGAGUUGCGUAGGUGGGAUAAUAGGUAGCUAGUGAAAUCUGGUGUCUGAAACAUUCAGACUGUUAGCUAAACUGUUAAGCUCGAGAGCGUUAGGGGUAAGUGGAAUUACUGGUGUAGGAGUGAAAUCCGUAGAUAUAAGGAAGAACACCAAUAGCGAAGGCAGGUUGCUGGGACGGUUCUGACACUAAGGCACGAAAGCGUAGGGAGCAAACGGGAUUAGAUACCCGGGUAGUC